rnacentral:rRNA from 1 species
GACGAACGCUGGCGGCGUGCCUAAUACAUGCAAGUAGAACGCUGAAGGAGGAGCUUUCUUCUCUGGAUGAGUUGCGAACGGGUGAGUAACGCGUAGGUAACCUGCCUGGUAGCGGGUGAUAACUAUUGGAAACGAUAGCUAAUACCGCAUAAGAGUAGAUGUUGCAUGACAUUUACUUAAAAGGUGCAAUUGCAUCACUACCAGAUGGACCUGCGUUGUAUUAGCUAGUUGGUGAGGUAACGGCUCACCAAGGCAACGAUACAUAGCCGACCUGAGAGGGUGAUCGGCCAACCUGGGACUGAGACACGGCCCAGACUCCUACGGGAGGCAGCAGUAGGGAAUCUUCGGCAAUGGACGGAAGUCUGACCGAGCAACGCCGCGUGAGUGAAGAAGGUUUUCGGAUCGUAAAGCUCUGUUGUAAGAGAAGAACGAGUGUGAGAGUGGAAAGUUCACACUGUGACGGUAUCUUACCAGAAAGGGACGGCUAACUACGUG